rnacentral:lncRNA from 1 species
UUCGCUGUCGCGCGUUCCCUUCUCUCUCAAAUUCUCUCUAACUAAACCCUAAUCUUUAGACACUGUCACCGAAUUAGCCCUCUGUUCUAUGAUGUUUCUUUAUUGUCCUAUGCCUAUAUUGGCCUCCUAUGGUUCAUCAAUUUCUUAGAUCCUUUAGAAGAUCUCAAGAGACCUAGGCAGUCUAGUUUGCACCAUUGAUUUAUUUGCCUGUUUUAAGCUAUUUGCUCGACCAUCAGUAAGAAGUCUCUCUUAUUUUGAUAUGAAUCCAUGAUUUUCUAGACCUAUGUUCUCGUCUUUGUCAUGCUUUCUAAAAACCCUAUUAUUUAUCUUCGAUAUUCUAAGAUUUGUAUAGGUCUGAGACGAAUCGAACAUAUCACAUAUCUUUCUUUGAAAGAUUCCUGGUUUUUCUACUGUUUUUUCGUUUUUCCUAAAACUAGGUUAACCCUAAGUCAUGUUCUUUAAAGAUUUUUUGAUUUUCAAAUGUUAAUCAUCUGUUCUUAAGUGAUUAUUGAUUAAUUUCUACUAAGAUUGUUUGGACCCUAGUCGAUUUAUGCUAAAGUCCUAAUUUUCUUAUACUUUGCUUCAUUUCUAGGUUUGUCUCGUGUUGCUCAUUGCAUUGUUUUGUUCUGUGCUUUGACUUUCAUGAUUUCUCCUUAGUCUAAUUCAGUUUCUUGUGACUUUUUACCCUAGUUCAUCUCCACUAGGGUUUCUAAAUUGAUCUCUAGGCUAAUUUCUAUGUGUUUAUGAAACUUUAUUUAGCCUAUUUGUUUAUUUGUUGAAACUGAUAUCUUUCACCCUUUAAAUCGGUACUAUUUUGAAUUUUGAUUUACUGAUUUGCUCAUGUAAAAUGUAUGUGCU